rnacentral:SRP_RNA from 1 species
GCCGGGCGUGGUGGCGCGUGCCUGUAGUCCCAGCUACGCGGGAGGCUGAGGCGGGAGGAUCGCUUGAGCCCAGGAGUUCUGGGCUGUAGUGCGCUAUGCCGAUCGGGUGUCCGCACUAAGUUCGUCAUCAAUACGGUGACCUCCCGGGAUCGGGGGACCACCAGGUUGCCUAAGGAGGGGUGAACUGGCCCAGGUCAGAAAUGGAGCAGGUCAAAACUCCCGUGCUGAUCAGUAAUGGGAUCGUGCCGGUGAAUAGCCACCGCACUCCAGCCUGGGCAACAUAGGGAGACCCCGUCUCU